AGAUCUGUUUCAGACCAGGAGAUUUUACCAAAAUUAUACAUCAAUAUGGGCACAGGUUUGAAGUAGAAUUACUGUAUUCUGUCUGCUCUCCUCAUUACAUCAACAAGAUGUGACAACAAGAACGGAAGAGAGGGGAGAGAGAGAGUGCAAAAACAAAUGGAUGGCGGGCAUCACUGAAUCGUGGCUGACAAAAUUUUAUAGUUGGGUGCUUAAACCCAAGGAUAAAUAUUGAAUCAAUAGGAUACGCAGAUCAAACUAUUGAUGUUUGUGGUCAUGAGAUAUCAGCUUUGUGCGUGAUCUUUCACAUCCAAUCAAUCUCGGAGUAUUUCACGGAAGUUACCAGGAAAGUUGAUGAAGGCAAGGUUGUGGAUAUUGUCUACAUGGACUUCAGCACGGUUUUUUACAAGGUCCCGUAUAGGAGGUCAGUCUAGAAGAUUCAGUUGCUUCGCAUUCAAGAUAAAGUAGUAAACUGGAUUAGACACUAACUUUUUGGAAAGAAUCCAGAGUGUAACUAUAGACUGUUGCAUUUCUGUUUGGCGCCUGUAUCUCGUGCAGUGUCACGGGGAUCGGUGCUGUGCCUGUUGUUGUUUGUCAUCCAUAUCAAUGAUCUGGAUGAAAUUACGGUUAAGAGCAUCAGCAAAUUUGCUGAUGACUCCAACAUUGGGAAGGAGCAGUUGACAAAGAGGAAGAUUACACGAGCUUUCAGUGAGGUCUGGACCAACUGGAGAAUGGACUUAAAAGGGGCCAAUGCAAUUUAAUGCAGACAGGUGCAAGAUGUUGCACUUUGGAUGGACCGAUCAGGGUAGAUCUUACUGAGAGACUGGUAGAACAAAGUGAUCGGGAAUACAGGUACAUAAGCCAUUGAAAGUGGCAGCAAAUGUUGCUAGGCUCUGAAAGAAAGUUUGUUAGUGCAUUAACCUUGGUAAAUGAAAAUAUCGUGUACGAUAUGAUGUUAUAUAAGACGUUGGAGAGGCCUCAUCUGGAUAUUAUGUGCAGUUCUGCACACCUAACUGCAGGACAGAUGGAAAUAAGUUUGAAAGAGUACAGAAAAAAAAAACAUUACAAGGAUGUAACCUGGACUGGAAGACCUAAGUUCUAAGAAGAGAGUGAACUGAUUAGGACUUUAUUCAUUGGAACAUGAAAGAUUGAGCGGAGAUUUGAUAGAAGUGUACACAAUUACAUUGGGAUAUAGAUCGGAUAAAUGCAAGCAGGCAUUUUGUACUGAGGUAAAGAGGUCCUACAACAAGAGGUUAUCACUAAAGGGUGAAAGGUGAGAAGUUCAAAGGGUACAAAGGUGAAACCGGUUUACUCAGAGGGUGGUGAGAGUGCAAAACUAGCUAGCAGGGCAAGUAGUGCAAGUUGUGAAGAGAAUUCUGAAUAGAUGCUUGCGUAAUGAGCGUAUAGAGCGCCAUGGCCCGGUGCAGGUCAACGGGAAUAAGUAGAUUCUGUAGUCUGGCAUGGAAUAGAUGGGCCAAAAGGCCUGUUUCUGUACUGUACUUUGCUGCGACUAUGACAAGUCAGCCACACAUUGUUUGGGAACUCACGGAGCCAAGACAAGCUGUGGUUAGCUGGUUUCCCUCCCUCAGGUACCGCAGUGAAGCCGGUUGGCCUAAUUGACAGUUUAAUACUCAUCCUGGAUUAAUGAGAUGAGGUGAAGCUCCCUGACGGUUCAGCCAAGAUUUGAAAUGUUUCACACCGAAUGCCUUUUGGAAGUCCAGAUAUGCAGCCACUGCUCUUACUUCACACUGAUAAAUACAGCAGGUGAUACAGGAAAAGGUGAUGCUAAACCUGCAGUUCCCAGUGCUCCCCACCUUAAAAACUGAAACCAGAUCUGCGAGAGGCAAGUCAGAGAUCAAAGUCUCCAUUCCCAAGUCGAUCUCCUAAAACAUGCAGGAGAUAAAUGUUGAUCACUAUUCCCUCUGAUACCAGCAGAUCAGUGACAAUACACGGACUGC